UCGAAAAUAGUUUACGUUUAAAAUGUUAAAUUGUCAGUUUAAAGAUAUCGAGUUGAUUUUUCGAU
rnacentral:tRNA from 1 species